AUUGAACGCUGGCGGCAGGCCUAACACAUGCAAGUCGAGCGGGGUUUUCGGACCUAGCGGCGGACGGGUGAGUAAUGCGUAGGAAGCUACCCGAUAGAGGGGGAUACCAGUUGGAAACGACUGUUAAUACCGCAUAAUGUCUACGGACCAAAGUGUGGGACCUUCGGGCCACAUGCUAUCGGAUGCGCCUACGUGGGGUUAGCUAGUUGGUGGGGUAAUGGCUCACUAAGGCGACGAUCCCUAGCUGGUUUGGGAGGAUGAUCAGCCACACUGGAACUGAGACACGGUCGAGACUCCUACGGGAGGCAGCAGUGGGGAAUAUUGGACAAUGGGCGGAAGCCUGAUGCAGCCAUGCCGCGGGGGUGAAGAAGGCCUUCGGGUUGUAAAGCACUUUCAGUAGGGAGGAAGCGUUGUGUGUUAAUAGUACACAGCGUUGACGUUACCUACAGAAGAAGCACCGGCUAACUCUGUGCCAGCAGCCGCCGUAACAC
rnacentral:rRNA from 1 species